GGAGGAGGAGGAGGAAGAGGAAGAUGAUCAGGAACUGUAUGAAGAGUUUAGGAAUGCUGGGGCUUCGGCGACUCGGAGCGUGAGGAAAUUGUAUGGAAAUGGAAUUAAUAGUGGGGGAAGUAACAGCGGUGGCGGUGGAAGUAGUGGAGAUGGAACCGCUGCUGGAGGGUUUCGGAUUCGAAUUCCGACUGGUGUGAGUAUAGCACAGCCAGGGUUGAAAAAUUAUCCGAAAGCUGAACAGAAGAUGAACCCUAAUUCAAAUCCUGUUUCG
rnacentral:misc_RNA from 1 species